AGUGAACGCUGGCGGCGUGCCUAAUACAUGCAAGUCGAACGGACGAGUAAGAGCUUGCUCUUAUGAGUUAGUGGCGCACGGGUGAGUAAUGUAUAGCUAAUCUGCCCUACACUAGAGGACAACAGUUGGAAACGACUGCUAAUACUCUAUACUCCUCUCUAGCAUAAGUUAGAUAGGGAAAGUUUUUCGGUGUAGGAUGAGGCUAUAUUGUAUCAGCUAGUUGGUGAGGUAAUGGCUCACCAAGGCUAUGACGCAUAACUGGUCUGAGAGGAUGAUCAGUCACACUGGAACUGAGACACGGUCCAGACUCCUACGGGAGGCAGCAGUAGGGAAUAUUGCUCAAUGGGGGAAACCCUGAAGCAGCAACGCCGCGUGGAGGAUGACACUUUUCGGAGCGUAAACUCCUUUUGUUAGGGAAGAACAAUGACGGUACCUAACGAAUAAGCACCGGCUAACUCCGUGCCAGCAGCCGCGGUAAUACGGAGGGUGCAAGCGUUACUCGGAAUCACUGGGCGUAAAGGACGCGUAGGCGGAUUAUCAAGUCUCUUGUGAAAUCCUAUGGCUUAACCAUAGAACUGCUUGGGAAACUGAUAAUCUAGAGUGAGGGAGAGGCAGAUGGAAUUGUUGGUGUAGGGGUAAAAUCCGAAGAGAUACCUAGAAUAUCCUUGCGAAAGGCGAUCUGUUGGAACUCACUGUGUCUAGGUGUGAUAGGUUUUUUUUCUU
rnacentral:rRNA from 1 species